GUAUAGCUCAGUGGGUAGAGCAUCUGCUUUGCAUGCAGAAGGCUGCAAUUUCAAUCAUCAACAUCUCCA